GUAGAUUAGAUCAUGGGACAUAUAGAUAAUUAACUUUUCCUAGAUUAAUUUUGAUUCUACAGUGGUUGAUUUCAAUCUGGAAAUUUUCAAAAAAAAAAAAAAAAUGGUAAAAUGUGCUUUCAAUGUGGUCUAGUAUGACAUAAUAGAAGGGAUCAUCUUUGGCAGCUACGACACAACACUUUUGAUAGAGAGGGUGCUGUCUCUGGAGUCCUGCCAGUUGUACCAUAUAUUCCUGCUCUAGUAGAUGGUUUUAGCUACAACAUUAGAGAUAGCAAAAGACAUGGGCAUGGACAUCCAUAUUCAAGUGGCUAUGGUGGUUCACUGCUUGCUGGAAGCAGUGCUUAUGGGGCCUAUGAAAGUUAUUCUCUAGGAUGGGAUGGUACUGUUUGGUUGCCUAGUCAGAACAAUAUUUCUAGGAUGAGAAACCAUGCUUACUAAACAUGAUGGGUCUCCCGAGGUAGAUUUCUAUUUUUAUAAACCACUUAUCUUUUAUUUAGCAACUUCCUAUGAUAUAUAUAAGUCAGUCACAUUAUUAUAUAAGAGACUGAUACCUUAACCUGACCAGCUUCCCGUUGAGAAUUUGAUGCUCUUGUUUUACCUCUGUUCCCUUUCCCUUACCAUCCAAACAGCCGAGAUGUGUGAAGCCCGCUGCACCUACUGCUUAAACCAGAAGACCAGAUGAACCAGGAUUUGACAAAUUUAUGGCCUACCUUGCCGCAUCUACUUAGAGGACCAAACUUAUGUGGAGACUACUAAAAAUUUCCAUGUCUAUUUUACCUUAAUUACCAAACUUGAUAACUUAUGCUACCAAAAACCUAAAAAGCUGGCUUGCCUUUGUUUUUGUUUUCUUAUUUUUCUCGUUCCUUUUGACUUAAAAAAAAAAAAACAAGUAGCUAUGUUUUCCAGCAGUUGUAUACCUUUAUUGCUGAUUGUGUUUAAUUUUUUUCAUAUUGCACUGUGAAAUCCAAUGAAAUACUAAAUUUUGAUAAGAUUUGAGUAUAAAUUCGUUAUCCUUACAUCAUGCCACAUUAGCCUAUUAUAAUUAAGCAGUAAAAGUUGAGAUAUUGGGUAAUCGUUUUUAUUUUUUUUGAGUAGAACAUGAUUUUGUACCAUAUAAUUUAACCUCUAGUGUAGGAUCUAACAAGUUAUUAAAAAGGGAGUUAUUAUGGAAAAAUUGUUCUUGAUUAUGUACAUACAAGGAUUUCAGAAGUAUUAUACAAAGUUUCAAAAGCGUGUGGGUUUUCUAAUGUUUUUCCUGAAGAAUUUCCUAGAUUGCCACCUGAUAGAGAUAUUAAAUUCUCUAUAGACUUGGUUCCUAACCUUCAACUCACAUCUGUACCUCUUC
rnacentral:lncRNA from 1 species